GAUGAACGCUGGCGGCGUGCCUAAUACAUGCAAGUCGAGCGAACGGACGAGAAGCUUGCUUCUCUGAUGUUAGCGGCGGACGGGUGAGUAACACGUGGAUAACCUACCUAUAAGACGGGGAUAACUUCGGGAAACCGGAUCUAAUACCGGAUGAUAUUUUGAACCGCAGGGUGCAAAAGUGAAAGACGGUCUUGCUGUCACUUAUAGAUGGAUCCGCGCUGCAUUGGCUAGUUGGUAAGGUAACGGCUUACCAAGGCAACGAUGCAUAGCCGACCUGAGAGGGUGAUCGCCCACACUGGAGCUGAGCCACGGUCCAGGCUCCUACGGGAGGCAGCAGUAGGGAACCUUCCGCAAUGGGCGGAAGCCUGACGGAGCAACGCCGCGUGAGUGAUGAAGGUCUUCGGAUCGUAAAACUCUGUUAUUAGGGAAGAACAUAUGUGUAAGUAACUGUGCACAGCUUGACGGUACCUAAUCAGAAAGCCCCGGCUAACUACGUG
rnacentral:rRNA from 1 species